GGCUGAGGAAGUCCCCAAGGGCCCCUCAAAGCCCAUCCGUGCCUGGGAGGAGACGAAACCUCCCCAACGGAAGAGUUGGCGAAAGAGCCCACAGCGGAAGCAGGAGCUGUGUGUGCCUCAGCCCUUCCGUGCCGAUUCACCAUCCUAUUGUAACGCUUGCUUAAGGAGGAUAGACUGGGAGGAGAAAGAGGCCCUGGAGUACAUCAACGCCUUUCUCACGAGCAAUGAACAGGACGAGGCCAAGAAACUCAAGUUCUUGGAUUCCAUCAGCACCCUCAGCAGCCUGCCUGCUUUUAUGGACAAAGCCUGCUAGUGGAGAAGAUAAAGGAGCUGAUUGAUCACGAGUCCGUCGACUCCCUGACCGGCGUGAUGCGUCAGCAAGCAAUGCUCGCCAUCAUGAAGCUGAGCAAAAUGAAGCUACCGUGGCUGGUCCUGACACGACCCAGCCUGCUCGCCACCUGCUUCUCCAGCAUCUUCUCCCUGCCUCCAGCACACACCAUGGAGGAGGAGGUGGAGGCUGCUCUCUACA